rnacentral:rRNA from 1 species
CCUACGGGAGGCAGCAGUAGGGAAUCUUCCACAAUGGGCGAAAGCCUGAUGGAGCAACGCCGCGUGGGUGAAGAAGGUCUUCGGAUCGUAAAACCCUGUUGUUAGAGAAGAAAGUGCGUGAGAGUAACUGUGCACGUUUCGACGGUAUCUAACCAGAAAGCCACGGCUAACUACGUGCCAGCAGCCGCGGCAAUACUAAGGUGGCAAGCGUUAUCCGGAUUUAGUGGGCGUAAAGGGAUCGCAGUCGGUUGUUUAAGUCUGAGGUGAAAGCCUUCGGCUUAACCAGAGUAGUGCAUUGGAAACUGGGCGACUUGAGUGCAGAAGAGGUGAGUGGAACUCCAUGUGUAGCGGUGAAAUGCGUAGAUAUAAGGAAGAACACCAGUGGCGAAAGCGGCUCUCUGGUCUGUAACUGACGCUGAGGUUCGAAAGCGUGGGUAGCAAACAGGAUUAGAUACCCGGGUAGUC